rnacentral:rRNA from 1 species
UACGUAGGGUGCAAGCGUUAAUCGGAAUUACUGGGCGUAAAGCGUGCGCAGGCGGCUUUGCAAGACAGAUGUGAAAUCCCCGGGCUUAACCUGGGAACUGCAUUUGUGACUGCAUGGCUGGAGUGCGGCAGAGGGGGAUGGAAUUCCGCGUGUAGCAGUGAAAUGCGUAGAGAUCCGGAGGAACCCCAGAGGCGAAGGCGGCGUCCUGGCUCGAUACUGACACUCAGACACGACAGCAUGGGGAGCGAACGGG